rnacentral:rRNA from 1 species
ACGACUGCUAAUACCGCAUAAGCCCACGGUACCGCAUGGCACUGAGGGAAAAGGAUUUAUUCGCUUUAGGAUGGACUCGCGUCCAAUUAGCUAGUUGGUGAGGUAACGGCCCACCAAGGCGACGAUUGGUAGCCGGACUGAGAGGUUGAACGGCCACAUUGGGACUGAGACACGGCCCAGACUCCUACGGGAGGCAGCAGUGGGGGAUAUUGCACAAUGGGGGAAACCCUGAUGCAGCGACGUCGCGUGGAGGAAGAAGGUUUUCGGAUUGUAAACUCCUGUCGUUAGGGACGAUAAUGACGGUACCUAACAAGAAAGCACCGGCUAACUACGUGCCAGCAGCCGCGGUAAAACGUAGGGUGCAAGCGUUGUCCGGAAUUACUGGGUGUAAAGGGAGCGCAGGCGGGAAGACAAGUUGGAAGUGAAAGCCAUGGGCUCAAUCCAUGAAUUGCUUUCAAAACUGUUUUUCUUGAGUAGUGCAGAGGUAGAUGGAAUUCCCGGUGUAGCGGUGGAAUGCGUAGAUAUCGGGAGGAACACCAGUGGCGAAGGCGGUCUACUGGGCACCAACUGACGCUGAGGCUCGAAAGCAUGGGUAGCAAACAGGAUUAGAUACCCUGGUAGCCC